rnacentral:rRNA from 1 species
GUCUACGGCCAUGCCACCCUGAAUAUGCCCGAUCUCAUCUGAUCUCGGAAGCUAAGCAAGGUCGGGCCUGGUUAGUACUUGGAUGGGAGACGACCUAAGAAUACCGGGUGCUGUAGAAG